rnacentral:lncRNA from 1 species
UUCUCAUCUUACAAAAAAUAAAAAUAAAAAUAAAAUAAAAAUAAAAAUAAAAGAUGAUUGCUCUAAUCUAGAAUCUUUGAUUGCAUUUCUAAACAAUCAGAAUAAUUCAAGAUAGAUCUCAAUGGUAGAUGGGAUAAGCUAUCCCAUAGAUUAGAUCAUCUGGAAUCCAUCAGACACUCUUCCUAUCCAUCUUAUCUUCCUGCACAAUAAGUUUGCACAAUAUGUUCGAGCCCCACCUACUUUGUGAGUGAAUGCUCAGCUGCACACCAAUUUUCUGAAUCUAUACAUGAGCAAGUUUAUCAAUAUUAAACCCACAUGGCCUAUAGACUAAAAAAUAAUCCAUACUUCAAUGCCUAUGAUUCAGACUGGAGAGCUCAACCAAAUUUUUUAUGGAAACCACAACCAGUGGUUACCUCGAUGACACAAGGACCAACAUUCAUAGAUGCACCUUAUUGUGACAUGCCCUACCCACA